UGGGGAAUUUUGGACAAUGGGCGCAAGCCUGAUCCAGCCAUGCCGCGUGCGGGAAGAAGGCCUUCGGGUUGUAAACCGCUUUUGCCAGGGAAGAAAUCUUCUGGGUUAAUACCUCGGGAGGAUGACGGUACCUGAAGAAUAAGCACCGGCUAACUACGUGCCAGCAGCCGCGGUAAUACGUAGGGUGCAAGCGUUAAUCGGAAUUACUGGGCGUAAAGCGUGCGCAGGCGGUUAUGCAAGACAGAUGUGAAAUCCCCGGGCUCAACCUGGGAACUGCAUUUGUGACUGCAUGGCUAGAGUGCGGCAGAGGGGGAUGGAAUUCCGCGUGUAGCAGUGAAAUGCGUAGAUAUGCGGAGGAACACCGAUGGCGAAGGCAAUCCCCUGGGCCUGCACUGACGCUCAUGCACGAAAGCGUGGGGAGCAAACAGGAUUAGAUACCCUGGUAGUCCACGCCCUAAACGAUGUCAACUGGUUGUUGGGAAGGUGCCUUCUCAGUAACGUAGCUAACGCGUGAAGUUGACCGCCUGGGGAGUACGGCCGCAAGGUUG
rnacentral:rRNA from 1 species